rnacentral:rRNA from 1 species
GAUGAACGCUGGCGGCGUGCCUAAUACAUGCAAGUCGAGCGAACAGACGAGGAGCUUGCUCCUCUGACGUUAGCGGCGGACGGGUGAGUAACACGUGGAUAACCUACCUAUAAGACUGGGAUAACUUCGGGAAACCGGAGCUAAUACCGGAUAAUAUAUUGAACCGCAUGGUUCAAUAGUGAAAGACGGUUUUGCUGUCACUUAUAGAUGGAUCCGCGCCGCAUUAGCUAGUUGGUAAGGUAACGGCUUACCAAGGCAACGAUGCGUAGCCGACCUGAGAGGGUGAUCGGCCACCCUGGAACUGAGACACGGUCCAGACUCCUACGGGAGGCAGCAGUAGGGAAUCUUCCGCAAAGGGCGAAAGCCUGACGGAGCAACGCCGCGUGAGUGAUGAAGGUCUUCGGAUCGUAAAACUCUGUUAUUAGGGAAGAACAAAUGUGUAAGUAACUAUGCACGUCUUGACGGUACCUAAUCAGAAAGCCACGGCUAACUACGUG